UACGGAGGGGGCGAGCGUUAUUCGGAAUUAUUGGGCGUAAAGGGCGCGUAGGCGGCUGUACAAGUCAAAGGUGAAAUCCCUCGACUCAACUGAGGAACUGCCUUUGAAACUGUACGGCUUGAGGCCGGGAGGGGGUAGCGGAAUUCCCAGUGUAGCGGUGAAAUGCGUAGAUACUGGGAGGAACACCAGUGGCGAAGGCGGCUACCUGGACCGGUUCUGACGCUGAGGCGCGAAAGCGUGGGUAGCAAACAGG
rnacentral:rRNA from 1 species